rnacentral:rRNA from 1 species
GCAUAUCAAUAAGCGGAGGAAAAGAAACCAACAGGGAUUGCCUCAGUAACGGCGAGUGAAGCGGCAACAGCUCAAAUUUGAAAUCUGGCCGCAAGGUCCGAGUUGUAAUUUGUAGAGGAUGCUUUUGGCGAGGUGCCUUCCGAGUUCCCUGGAACGGGACGCCAUAGAGGGUGAGAGCCCCGUACGGUAGGACCACCAAGCCUCUGUAAAGCUCCUUCGACGAGUCGAGUAGUUUGGGAAUGCUGCUCUAAAUGGGAGGUGUACGUCUUCUAAAGCUAAAUACCGGCCAGAGACCGAUAGCGCACAAGUAGAGUGAUCGAAAGAUGAAAAGCACUUUGAAAAGAGGGUUAAAAAGUACGUGAAAUUGUUGAAAGGGAAGCAUUCAUGACCAGACUUGGGCUUGGUUGAACAUCCGGCGUUCUCGCCGGUGCACUCUGCCAGUCCAGGCCAGCAUCAGUUUGCCCCGGGGGAUAAAGGCGGCGGGAAUGUGGCUCCCUUCGGGGAGUGUUAUAGCCCGUCGUGUAAUGCCCUGGGGCGGACUGAGGAACGCGCUUCGGCACGGAUGCUGGCGUAAUGGUCAUCAAUGACCCGUCUUGAAACACGGACCAAGGAGUCGUCUUCGUAUGCGAGUGUUCGGGUGUCAAACCCCUACGCGUAAUGAAAGUGAACGUAGGUGAGAGCUUCGGCGCAUCACCGACCGAUCCUGAUGUUCUCGGAUGGAUUUGAGUAAGAGCAUACGGGGCCGGACCCGAAAGAAGGUGAACUAUGCCUGUAUAGGGUGAAGCCAGAGGAAACUCUGGUGGAGGCUCGCAGCGGUUCUGACGUGCAAAUCGAUCGUCAAAUAUGGGCAUGGGGGGCGAAAGACUAAUCGAACCUUCUAGUAGCUGGUUUCCGCCGA